UAUGGUUUUCAGCUUUAAAACGUCUGCAGUGAAACAUAUGACAUGAUGCAUAGCACAUAGCACAUAAAGCAUGUAAACACGUUCUAGAUAUAUAUCAAUUGAUGGAAAAUCCCUUAGCCAUGGUCAAGCACUUUCAAGAGAGUUAAAGUCAUCCUUGAAGGUGGUGUCAACUCUACCUUGUAAACCACCUUUGGAGCCAUUAUGAAGCAAGGCUUAAAGAGUAGUGUAUGAAUUUAGGCAAUUGUAUUAGGCCAUGUAGUGUAGGUUUGUUUAAGGCUUGUAUUAAGGCCUAAGUAGCAUAGGAUUUUCCUUAAAGUUAGACAUCCAAACCAAGUGGAAAGUGUGUGCCAUGUGUCAUGCUUCCAUUAGAGAGGAUUUACUUUUUAAAAGGUAGCCACAUGACACCUUAGGAGUGGAGAGUUUUUGCUUUUAGUAGUGGCCACAUGACACUCUAGGAAUGGAGAGGAUUGUGUUUUGUGAGUGGCCACAUGUCCUUCCAUCAUUGGAGGUUAGAAGGCCAAAUUUUUGGCCAAUGAGAGCAAAGGUGGGAGAUCAUGCUUUUAGGGUUAGAAGGAGACACCCUUGGCCUAUAAAUAGAGGUGUCACCACCCUUGUAUUUCAUCUUUGAUUUUGAGUAAUGUUAUGCUGCCCAUUUUUGGCCACACUACUCAUCUUAGAUCAAGACUAGAGCAACCCAUGAGGCCCCUCUAGUCACCUUCCUCUUUGAGUUGGCCUAACCUCUCUUGGAGCCACCAAACACUACACCACCACCACCAUAUCUCCUAGAGGCUUUGAGCUUCUACACUAUUCAUACAAUAGCUGAUCAUCCUUGGACCAUUUACCACCACAUUUCCGCACCAUUCAUCCAAGGAAACACCCCUCCAUUGCAUCCUUCUUAGCUUUGGCCCAACCUAGCUUAAGGAGGUUGCCAUCAUUUGGUAUCAGAGCUUUGGUUCUUCAAGAGCUAAGUCUUUUAGUCCUUAUCUAUCAUUUAUAGUUCCAUAUUGUUGAUGUUAUUUCCCUACUUGUCUUGUUGUGUUUUGUUUUCCAUCUAUCAUUUGUUCUGGCAGCAAACUGUGACGAUUUUGAAACUUAAACUGCAUCUAGCUCAGUUGUCCAAAAAAUGCUUAAAAAUAUUUAAAUGAAAGCCCUUGGAGUGUAGUUUCCAAAAAAAAAAGAAUCACUUCAUUUGGAUUUCUGUGCAGAAAGUUAUAAGUAAAACACUCAGCAAAGGUCAAAGCUGUCAAGAUGUUGUCAUUAGCGUUUUUCAAGUUUGUUUUUGGUAGUUUUGGCUAAUUUUUUGUGCUUUUUCUUUCUUUUGUGUCAUUCCUUGCUGUGUUGUUUGGUCUUAUAUGCUUAUUUUGUGUCAUUUUUAUUUUUGAAUCCAUCCAUGUUGUGUAGAGUCAUGUUUAGUCCUUUACAUGUCUUUACUUCCAUGUUUAACCUUUGAAAUAUCACCAAAAAUACAUGUUUGAGUAAAUUUCAAAACUGUUUCAUUUGAGUACCUUUGAGUGCUUUUUCUUUGCAUAUUUGAGUUCAUACUUGUUGUUAGAUCAUCAACAAGUUCUUAGAGUUAGGUUUCCAUUAUGUCCCUUUUUGUGUUUCAUGCUAUACUUGAUUCUAGUAAGUUUCCUUCAUUUUGGUGCUAUAAGCUUGUAUGAACAUCAAACUCCUUGUAACAUUCCAGAUUUGAGGUUUGAUUUGGUGUGUGUUUGUGCUAAAAACAUUUCAAGAAAAAAAAAGAGACAAAAGGUACAAAAGAAAAAAGUAGACAAAAAGUACAAAAAGCAAAAGCAAAAAGUAAAAGUAAAAGCACAUGCAUGUAACAUCUUUAACCAACUUUGUGUGAGCACUUUGGUGUUGAUUUGGAGCUGAUUUUUAUGUCCCCAAGCUGCUGUUCCAGC
rnacentral:lncRNA from 1 species